rnacentral:lncRNA from 1 species
GAAGAUCGAAGAUGAUUUAUUCACUCUGUCUUUUAAUUUUUGUUACAGAACUGUAAAAAAAAGAAAAUUGCUGUCCAGCUUCUGUUCCAUCUUUCUGUGCAUCUGCUGCUGGACAUCAUUGAGAAUGAUUUGGAGGUACUUUAGCCGCUUAAAGCUGCUUGCAAGAUCAAGGAUUUUAAUUCCCAGUCUUGAGACUGAGUCAUUGAGAAUUGCUCACUGAAGUCACCAAUGGUGAGUGAAACCUUCACAACUUCAUCAUUUGCCCCAGCAAAAGUAAAAAUAACAGAGGUGAGAAAAAUCUUCUCAAUAAAUUAUUUAUAUUAAUUGCUUUU